rnacentral:rRNA from 1 species
AUUGAACGCUGGCGGCAGGCCUAACACAUGCAAGUCGAGCGGAUGAAGGGAGCUUGCUCCUGGAUUCAGCGGCGGACGGGUGAGUAAUGCCUAGGAAUCUGCCUGGUAGUGGGGGGUAACGUCCGGAAACGGGCGCUAAUACCGCAUACGUCCUGAGGGAGAAAGUGGGGGAUCUUCGGACCUCACGCUAUCAGAUGAGCCUAGGUCGGAUUAGCUAGUUGGUGGGGUAAAGGCCUACCAAGGCGACGAUCCGUAACUGGUCUGAGAGGAUGAUCAGUCACACUGGAACUGAGACACGGUCCAGACUCCUACGGGAGGCAGCAGUGGGGAUUAUUGGACAAUGGGCGAAAGCCUGAUCCAGCCAUGCCGCGUGUGUGAAGAAGGUCUUCGGAUUGUAAAGCACUUUAAGUUGGGAGGAAGGGCAGUAAGUUAAUACCUUGCUGUUUUGACGUUACCAACAGAAUAAGCACCGGCUAACUUCGU